CCAGUACGUGUCCGUAUAAAAGAGUGCGAGGUUCGUGCCCAUAUCAUUCGUCAACAUGAAGGUCCUGCUUGUUACCGUGCUGCUCCUGCUGCUGUGUAGCGCUCACGUGCUCACACUCCAAUGCAACACCUGUGCCAGUGAAACAGAUGAGGAAUGCAAGACGCUGGUUGAAUGCCAACCGUCCGAGUUGUACUGCAAAACCGUCACAGAUGGGGACCAGAUCUAUCGCUCCUGUGAGACGUUCUGCGACACGGACGAUUUUACAACCUGCUGUCAGACGGACGGAUGCUAACCCCAAGGCCUUGCUUGAAAAUCGCUUUCACUUUCUGAUAACAAUCACGUGGAAAAAUUAACCUAAAAAAUCUGAACAUUUGAACGAUUUGCUAGUUUAUCAAAUGUUAAUCUGUCAAUAAUCCUGCUUUUGAUUUGUUUUGUCCUUGAUUGAAUGAAUCUGCAUAAAAUAACAAAAAUGUAUGCAACACAAAGUUGCUCCAGUUCAUUUUUCUAAUGAACUAGAGCUGGUAGCAGAGCGACCACACACACACACACACACACAAACACACACACACUUAAUCCCUUUCCGAUGUCACUUUGUGGGUCACCAGCCGACUGCUACUGUAUGUGGGUCGUUGUCCGUCACUGCUGUAAAACUGGAGUCGUCUUUUUCAUACUCACAGAAAAAUAAGAAAUGGAUGAAGGGAAAAUAAAAUUUAAAUACAUUUUA